UACGGGGGGGGCGAAGCGUUGUUCGGAAUUACUGGGCGUAAAGGGCUCGUAGGUGGCCAACUAAGUCGGACGUGAAAUCCCUCGGCUUAACCGGGGAACUGCGUCUGAUACUGGAUGGCUUGAGUUCGGGAGAGGGAUGCGGAAUUCCAGGUGUAGCGGUAGAAAUGCGUAGAUAUCUGGAGGAACACCGGUGGCGAAGGCGGCAUCCUGGACCGACACUGACGCUGAGGAGCGAAAGCCAGGGGAGCAAAGCGGG
rnacentral:rRNA from 1 species